rnacentral:misc_RNA from 1 species
GGAUGAAGAACGUAGCGAAAUGCGAUAAGUAGUGUGAAUUGCAGAAUUCAGUGAAUCAUCGAAUCUUUGAACGCACAUUGCGCCCCUUGGUAUUCCAUGGGGCAUGCCUGUUCGAGCGUCAUUUGUACCUUCAAGCUCUGCUUGGUGUUGGGUGUUUGUCUCGCCUCUGCGUGUAGACUCGCCUUAAAACAAUUGGCAGCCGGCGUAUUGAUUUCGGAGCGCAGUACAUCUCGCGCUUUGCACUCAUAACGACGACGUCCAAAAGUACAUUUUUACACUCUUGACCUCGGAUCAGGUAGGGAUACCCGCUGAACUUAAGCAUAUCAAUAAGCGGAGGA